GCCACCAUAGCUCAGUGGUUAGAGCACUGGUCUCGUAAACCAGGGGUUGUGAGUUCAAUCAUUACUGGUGUCU